AGCACGGUUGCUGAGUGAUUAAGGCGUUAGACUUAAGAUCUAAUGGAUAUAUGUCUGCGUGGGUUCGAUCCCCAUUCGUGCCA
rnacentral:tRNA from 1 species